rnacentral:misc_RNA from 1 species
CAACGACACAGAGAGAGAGUGCCUCGAAAUCAAACUCCGGCGAGGAGCCAAACGCAAGACCCAUGUCUCAACUGGAGACAGGGUAUGAGAGGAGAGAGGGAGAAAAUUUUGGUGUAUUUGGCGGUUCGUUCGAAUUGCUGUUUGUUUGAGCUUCUGAGAUGGAGAAAGACAAUUUUAGGGUGAGGAGGAAGAUUCAUGGCCGGAGGUGGAGGAAAGGCAGAGGAGCCGCAGCCACAUCCGCCAAAGGAGCAGCUUCCAAACAUUUAUUAUUGCAUUACCAGUCCUUCCUAAUGGUGAAUUGACCGAAGUAAAUGGGGAUCAGUAUUUGAAAGCUUUGAGCAAGCUGAUCCCUCAACAACUAGAUUGCAU